AAGUCGUAACAAGGUCUCCGUUGGUGAACCAGCGGAGGGAUCAUUAUAGAGUUCUAAACUCCAAACCUUUGUGAACAUAUACGUGUUGCUUCGGCGGGUUGGGGGGCCCAGCGCCCACCGUCGCCCGCCGGGGACCCAAACUCUUGCCUUCUAGAGGAAUCUUCUGAGUGAAAGCAAAUAAAAUCAAAACUUUCAGCAACGGAUCUCUUGGCUCUA
rnacentral:misc_RNA from 1 species